GCGAGCGUAGUCUAGUGGUUAUGAUGUCUGCUUUACAUUCAAGUAAUGAUGAUGUAGAGCGCAGAAGGUCGGGAGUUCGAUCCUCCCCGCUCGUA